AAGGAAUAGUUUUAUAAAAAUAUUAAUUUUGGAGAUUAAAGAUAAAGGAUUCUUUUUCCUUGAU
rnacentral:tRNA from 1 species